rnacentral:sRNA from 1 species
AUAAAAUGGGUACAUUAUGGGCAGUGUAAUACAAGCUUUCUUUUCAUUGCCUAGUACUUUACCAGCAGACCACAGUUUUGCUCUGGCUAGACCAACCCUCAGAACAAAAUCAUCAUUCCUUGUAUUUAUAUUUGUAUCUGAGAUAGUAAACAAGAUGGCUGGCCAGGUCAACAUGGCACCUUAACUUACUUUUUUAAUAGGUAAAACUUCUUCAAAAGUAGCUUGCUUUGUAUAAGAACUAGGCUAUCAGUAGAGAUAUAGCUAUCCUUGGAGCUUAUGUUUCAGACAAGAAUUAUUUACUAAAAUAAAUAAUAAACAAGAUAAUGCAUUAUAGAAUUUGGGCAUUUCUCCUUUCUCAAGUGUAUGCAUCACGGUAAAUAUAAACUAACCACAAGAUAGGUAGAUUGAUUGAUUUCAUUUUAAUCUACUUGUGUAAUUCAGUACCUCCAUAAUUGUUCUAAUCUUCUUCCCACUGUUUACAAAUUACCAGUUAAUUAACUCGUGAAAGAAAAAUUCACAUAUCAGAAUAAAAAUAAAUGUAUACUCACUUUAUAAAAAUCACCACUGCUGUCUUUCCUUAAUACUAGCAGUGGAAAUGUAAGUGGCUUACUCUACAAAUUUUGGUGCUGGCAAAUACAUAGGCAAACUGUUGGGAGCUGCUGUAGUUAUAUUCCUCCCUUCUUAUUCCCUUUUUCUCUUCCUCACUUUAUUGCAUAACAUAUUCCUGUACCCAAAGCAUUCUACCACAGUUCUAUUUGACUCCCACCUGUAAUACCUCCUUUAAACAAUUCCAUGUUUAACCAUAUGACCUUGCUUGCUUACUCAUAUUCUCCCUCCCCCUCCCCUUCCUUUCUCUCUCUUCCAGAAGUCAUUUGCCUGGUUUGAAAUAUUUUGUAGGGAUUGCUUAUUAUUAUUUUAGCUGAUGAACCUCAGGACAACAUAUACACACACUUACACACAUACAUACACGCACACAAAAUCUCAGCUGUUGAAGAGUGGGCUUGGAAUCAGACUUCUGUGUCCAGUAAAAAACUGUCCUGCACUGAAGUCAUUGUGACUUGAGUAGUUACAGACUGAUUCCAGUGAACUUGAUCUAAUUUCUUUUGAUCUAAUGAAUGUAUCUGCUUACCUUGUUUCCUUUUAAUUGAUAAGCUCCAAGUAGUUGCUAAUUUUUUGACAACUUUGAGUUUAAUUCACUUCUUUUACUUAGUGUUUUAAGUAUACCACCAAUAAUUUCAUUAAUCUGUUCUCAAGUGGUUUAGCUACCAUUCUGCCAUUUUAAAUUUUUAUUUAAUUUUAUUUGCUUGAGCACACUGAUCAACCACUGAACUGCCUUCUUCCAUUGUCCUGCAGUGAUAUAAGGGUUACAUUUUUGUGUAUAUGGCUUUCAUAGUUGGGAUUUCAGAGCACUGAUACCAGAUAUUUUCAGUUUGUUCUCUGGGGGAAUUUCAUUUGCAUCUAUGUUUUUAGCUAUCUGUGAUAACUUGUUAAAUAUUAAAAAGAUAUUUUGCUUCUAUUGGAACAUUUGUAUACUCGCAACUAUAUUUCUGUAAACAGCUGCAGUCAAAAAUAAAACACUGAAAGUUUU